AGUCGAGCGGUAGAGGGAAGCUUGCUUCUCUUGAGAGCGGCGGACGGGUGAGUAAUGCCUAGGAAUCUGCCUAGUGGUGGGGGAUAACGUUCGGAAACGGACGCUAAUACCGCAUACGUCCUACGGGAGAAAGCGGGGGACCUUCGGGCCUCGCGCCAUUAGAUGAGCCUAGGUCGGAUUAGCUAGUUGGUGAGGUAAUGGCUCACCAAGGCUACGAUCCGUAACUGGUCUGAGAGGAUGAUCAGUCACACUGGAACUGAGACACGGUCCAGACUCCUACGGGAGGCAGCAGUGGGGAAUAUUGGACAAUGGGCGAAAGCCUGAUCCAGCCAUGCCGCGUGUGUGAAGAAGGUCUUCGGAUUGUAAAGCACUUUAAGUUGGGAGGAAGGGUAGUAACUUAAUACGUUGCUACUUUGACGUUACCGACAGAAUAAGCACCGGCUAACUUCGUGCCAGCAGCCGCGGUAAUACGAAGGGUGCAAGCGUUAAUCGGAAUUACUGGGCGUAAAGCGCGCGUAGGUGGUUCAGUAAGUUGGAUGUGAAAUCCCCGGGCUCAACCUGGGAACUGCAUCCAAAACUGCUGAGCUAGAGUACGGUAGAGGGUAGUGGAAUUUCCUGUGUAGCGGUGAAAUGCGUAGAUAUAGGAAGGAACACCAGUGGCGAAGGCGACUACCUGGACUGAUACUGACACUGAGGUGCGAAAGCGUGGGGAGCAAACAGGAUUAGAUACCCUGGUAGUCCACGCCGUANACGAUGUCAACUAGCCGUUGGGAGUCUUGAACUCUUAGUGGCGCAGCUAACGCAUUAGGUGACCGCCUGGGGAGUACG
rnacentral:rRNA from 1 species